rnacentral:lncRNA from 10 species
GGGUAAAUGGAGGGAAACCAUCCCGGAGCAAGCACUAAAGCAGCAAGGAAGAAGUAGCACAGAUUGGCGUUCUCCUCUGUAUGGAUGGAGACAGUGAUCCUCCUGCUCAUCAUGCCACCUUGAAGCUUCCUGGAGCAUCAAAUGCCUAGACCCUGAAAUGGUGACACACACUUCUGCUUGUGAUUUGUAUCUGGGACUCGGAGCCCCAGCUUUGGCUUCCAGAAUCUCUGAAUUGACAAGACCUUGCCUGAAUGCAGUUUUCUGGUAAUGAGAUCCAUCAGAGAUGACAUGAGUGAAGCCCCAGAGAAGGGUGCCACGAGAACAUGGCCUCUAAACUGUUGCAUGGAGAGUGGCUGGAGGUGCUGGGGACUCAGUGGACAUGGUCUAUCCUGGUUUGGGUGAACAGACUGGCUUAAUGAGCUAGUAAGCAUCCAAGGU